rnacentral:rRNA from 1 species
GCCGCGGUACCCUAACCGUGCGAAGGUAGCACAAUCACUUGUUCUUUAAAUUAGGACCAGUAUGAAUGGCCUCACGAGAGCUAUACUGUCUCCCCCCUUCAAUCAGUGAAACUGAUCUCCUCGUGAAGAAGCGAGGAUAAACAUAUAAGACGAGAAGACCCCAUGGAGCUUUAAACUUGCACCACUGCCUCAAACUACAUCAAUUAACUUAGACAUAUUUGGCCGCAAGUCUUUCGGCUGGGGCGACCACGGAGAAAAAUAAAACCUCCAUGAUGAAAGGGAUAAUCCCUAAUCAAAGAGCCACCACUCAAAGAAUCAAUAAACUGACGUAUUGACCCAAAUUUUUGAUCAACGAACCAAGUUACCCUGGGGAUAACAGCGCAAUCCAUUUCAAGAGACCCCAUCGACAAAUGGGCUUACGACCUCGAUGUUGGAUCAGGGUAUCCCAGUGGUGCAGCCGCUACUAAAGGUUCGUUUGUUCAACGAUUAAAACCCUACGUGAUCUGA